UGACAGUGCUAACGUUUUUGGCUGGGGCUAUAGUGGAUAAAGGUGAGAAAGAAGAGGCUGGUAUUAGGGUUAGGUUGCACUCGGGCAAGCUGGCCAUGAGAGGGAUGAGGGCUGAGUGGUGUCGGAGGCAGGCUUACAGUAUGCAGAGGUGUCUCAAGUCAACUGAUGCCACAGCAUGUUGAGAUGGACAUGGACGCAAAUGAGGAAGAGAAAAGGAGAGAGGGCAAGGAAAAGAGGCACAGGAGUUGGAGGGAAUAGAGAAGAAGAA
rnacentral:lncRNA from 1 species